GAAAUGCGAUAAGUAAUGUGAAUUGCAGAAUUCAGUGAAUCAUCGAAUCUUUGAACGCACAUUGCGCCCGCCAGUAUUCUGGCGGGCAUGCCUGUCCGAGCGUCAUUUCAACCAUCAAGCCCCCGGGCUUGUGUUGGGGACCUGCUGCUGCCCGCAGGCCCUGAAAACCAGUGGCGGGCUCGCUGUCACACCGAGCGUAGUAGCAAUCACCUCGCUCAGGGCGUGCUGCGGGUUCCGGCCGUUAAACAGCCUUACAAAACCCAAGGUUGACCUCGGAUCAGGUAGGAAGACCCGCUGAACUUAAGC
rnacentral:misc_RNA from 1 species